rnacentral:lncRNA from 1 species
GCAGAAGUGGGCCGUUAUAUACGGCCUCAGCCCGUUCGGGCUGCUGUAACACAGAUCCCACUGACAGCGGGGCUUAUAAAUAAUAGAAAUUUAUUGCUCGCAGUUCUGGAGGCUGGAAAGUCCAAGAUCAAGGUGCCAGCAGAUUGGGAGUCUGCAUGGCUUGCCAAGUGGUGCUAUGUCCACACCCGGGAUCCGAACCCACAAACCCCAGGCUGCCGAAGUGGAAAGUGCGCACUUAACCGCUGCACCACCAGGCCGGCCCCAGGAAUAGUCUGUGCUCACCCUCCUGGGGCGAGCCUGCUGCCAGGGGCUGUGCUCCUCUCAGGGCGAGCUGAGCACCUGCAGUCACCCCAUCGGCCAGAGCAAGUCAGGACCACGCCCACCGCCUGUCGCGCAGGGACGGACUCUCCCUACAGUUGCAAGAACUUCAACGUCACCUGACAAAGUGUGUUGACACAGGGAGGGGUUAGGAACACGGGAGAAUAAACCAAGGAACCACAUCUGUCGUUGCACCGCCUUUAAAUAAAGC